GAUGAACGCUGGCGGCGUGCCUAAUACAUGCAAGUCGAGCGAACAGACGAGGAGCUUUCUCCUCUGACGUUAGCGGCGGACGGGUUGGUAACACGUGGAUAACCUACCUAUAAGACUGGGAUAACUUCGUGAAACCGUAGCUAAUACCGGAUAAUAUAUUGAACCGCAUGGUUCAAUAGUUAAAGACGGUUUUGCUGUCACUUAUAGAUGGAUCCGCGCCACAUUAGCUAGUUGGUAAGGUAACGGCUUACCAAGGCGACGAUGCGUAGCCGACCUGAGAGGAUGAUCGGCCACACUGGAACUGAGACACGGUCCAGACUCCUACGGGAGGCAGCAGUAGGGAAUCUUCCGCAAUGGGCGAAAGCUUGACGGAGCAACGCCGCGUGAGGGAUGAAGGUCUUCGGAUCGUAAAACGCUGUUAUUAGGGAAGAACAAAUGUGUAAGUAACUAUGCACGUCUUGACGGUACCGAAUCAGAAAGCCACGGCUAACUACGUG
rnacentral:rRNA from 1 species